rnacentral:rRNA from 1 species
AUUGAACGCUGGCGGCAGGCCUAACACAUGCAAGUCGAGCGAGCGGCGGACGGGUGAGUAAUGUCUGGGAAACUGCCUGAUGGAGGGGGAUAACUACUGGAAACGGUAGCUAAUACCGCAUACCACUAGUUGAGCCCCUUUUGGGUUAGCGAGUAGGUGGGGUAACGGCUAACCCAGGCGACGAUCCCUAGCUGGGCUGAGAGGAUGACCAGCCACACUGGAACUGAGACACGGUCCAGACUCCUACGGGAGGCAGCAGUGGGGAAUAUUGCACAAUGGGCGCAAGCCUGAUGCAGCCAUGCCGCGUGUGUGAAGAAGGCCUUCGGGUUGUAAAGCACUGUCAGCGGGGAGGCGUUACCCGCAGAAGAAGCACCGGCUAACUCCGUGCCAGCAGCCGCGGUAAUUC